AAAGGCAAGACAGGAAGAAAUCAAGUGUUUAACAGAACAGUAUAAGUGGCUUAAACUAACUGUAUACCAAAAAACCAAAUCUUGAUGAUGUUGGAAUACACUUUUGGUUGAAAAAGGAAUAGUUAUUCCACCAGAAAAAAAAAUCCAAAACGUAACUAAAGUGGAAAACGCGAGACCAGAGGCAGAAAGAAAGUGGGAAAAAUGGGGCAUUUUACACAUUUGAAGUCACUAGAAUGUUAAGUUCUCUGAUGUAUCUACGAAUGACUUGGGGAGGCAAACAACCUUACUUGAGCAAACCCUACCCCCUAAAAUAACCAGGCACUGUGCUAAGAAUAGUAACAAUAUAUUCACUGUUUAUGUUGCAUUAGAGCCUGUAAACUUAAACCUGUAAUUAAUUUCCAUAUGAUGAUGAUGCUAAAAACAGCACUACUUUUUGUAAAGAGAGUCUGAAACAAAAUGUUGAUUUCAAUCGGAUGCUUAACAAACCUAGUUUGCAGUUUAACAGUAUUCACUUGAGUAAGGCUACCAAAGUGCUAUGUUAGCAUUUUGGAAGUGAAAAUUAUUUUAAGUAGUAACAUCAUUUCAGACUGAAUUUAUUUCCAGUGUUGGGCUAAUAAUUCCAUGGUUCCUCCAAAGGUCAAGCAUAGGCUUGAGAAAUCUGUUUCACUGUUAUUUUGCAUUUUCCCAUGUUAGGUAAAACUCACUUAUUAAAGAGCAAAACAGGAACACAAGCCUUGACAAAAUGAUUUUGUUUCAUAUAUAUUAACCAUUGUGCUGUUUCAGCAGAAAGUAAUGGAAGCAGAUUCAAACAGUCCUUAGCUGGUGGUCACACACUAAUUGGGGGGAUGGUAAUCCUGGUUCAAAUCCUCAUCUUUAUUAAUUUUCAGUGGUUUGUGGCAAUAGACUAUUCUCCUUGCUGAUCAGCAUCUUGAGCUUGCAUCUUCUCACGUUUCAGGCCAGUUUUUUUAAUCUUGAUGACCAAACAGGCCUGGUUUUGAUCUAAACUGGUAUUUUGACAGAUUCCACUUCCAGCAGCAUGACUCAAUAGCAUUUUUUUCUGCCUGGUACCAAAAAAAUUUUUUUAAACUAUAUAGAUAAUUGUGAAAUUAGACUGUUGCCUUUCAGAUAGCUCUAAAGUACAUUAAUGUACACUUCCAGUCUGUCAUAUAUAUUCUUCUAAAAGUGUAAUUUUUGUAAAUGUAUGCUUUUAUUUGAAGUUAAUUACUUAGUCCAUUUAAACAAAGAGCUGUAUCUCUAAAUAAUUACUGGAGACAAGUUGAAACUGCUUAACAUCUAAAAAAACCCCAGACCUCAGUACUCUUCAAAGUCCAGUAUUUUUUAAUGACAGAAAAAAUAUGCUGCAUUUAAAUUUCUUGUUCUUAAAUUUCAGAUUAUCAAGCAGAACCUUUCAAACCAAAAGGAACUGAAAGAACAUGCUAAAUUAUUUUGUACAAAACAGUAUGCUAGUCUCCUCUUAGAGGUUCCCUAUGGCUUGCAAUUUUAAUGACACAUUUUCAGCAUGUUGAACUGAACUUGGCCAAUGUAUUUAUUUUAAGGCACAAUAUAUUUAUUUUAAGGCACAAUCUGCCUUACUGACAUAAAUAUUUGCUUUUUGAUGAUGUGAAAUAGUCCACUCUAGCACAGAACUGCAAAUGGAUUUGAGGGUUCCUCUUCAUUCUCCUACAAAAAAACCCCAGAAUGUCAAAGCUGAAUGAACAUUGCUUCCUGUUUUAGAAAGUUUUAAAAUACUUUCUCUGUGCUUUCAGAGUCAAACUGGCAAAACAGAUAGUGCUUAGAAAAAUAAAGCAGUGAAUAAAAUCUUUGUGGUAUCUGCUUGCAAGAACAGAGCUGUUGAUUUUUCUCCUUUUAUAUUCUGGAGAAGACUGAUUGAAUAUUAGAAUAAUUAGUAAGCUACAUCUGUUGAAACAACAGAUGCUGGAAGUGUACUGCAUGGCAAAGCAAAUUUUAUUGCAUAAGCCAGUAAAAGUCACCUGGGAAAGGCAGAAAAAUCUCUGGGGGGUGGAAGGUGGAAUUAAGCCUUUCAUUAACCUUUCUUGUUUUUUCCAGAGCAAAUGGCUAAGCAGAAUAAUGGUGAGGGAGUCUUCCCCCUUGGGAAAUCACCUCCCGCUGACCAAGUAUGCAGUCUGAUUGGAGAACCAUACAGCACUCUUCAGCUGUGAAAACUGAUGAUGCAGAAACCUCUGCCCACAGGUUCCAGAAGAAAAACUACGUCCUAAUUCUAACUCUCCAAGAGAUCUAACAUUACCGUUCCUGUAGUUUUCAGUUACUUCUGUCCUCUCCAUCUGUUUAUCAAAUGACCUCCCAUUUGCCUUCUUAUUUCUCAAACUUCAGCUUCCUGCCACCUUGUAUGAAGCACUGAGUGUUUGUUGUCAUGCAAAUGCUCUGUGUAUACACAUAUAUAUGUAUACGCAUAGAGAGCAAACCUCAGCUCUGACAGCAGGCAGCUACGUAUCAGAGAAGUGUAUUAGCCUCUAGGGGAGGGGAUUCACAGUUUUAUUUUAGUAGGAAGUAACAAACCUGCAUGUUGCUGGGCAUCUUUUGAAUUGAUAUGGCACUUGAAGUGGCUUUGGGUAAACUAAGGAGUAAGCCGAAAUUUAACAAUGCACUCUGCUACAGGCAGAUGCCCCACUGAAUGCUAUAAUUAGUUAUAAAGAGUGGUAAGUGCUAAGCUGAGCCCAAAUAAUUUCUUUUUAACUUAUAUUCCUCUUCUUAUCCUUUCCCCUAUCCAGACCAGCUCUGUUCCAAAAUGACUGCUUGUUAGAGGGAGAAAACAACUUGGCACACAUGUUCUGACUUUGUAUUCUUUAAGAUUUACCUGGACAUUAAACUCUCAUGUACUUGUUUUGUGGAAGAGUGUUUUUCAGUGACUAAGGCUCCAUAUUUAUUCUUUUCUGUGAAAAGCCUCAAUCCAGUCCAUCACAGGACAGGACGAUUGUAGCAUGAACAAGGUUAAGAUCAGGAAGGAAGACUGGUGUGCUGCUGCUCUUAAAUAAUUUAUUACCUGCUUCAAAAUUUUAUCAAGGUUCCUUUUGUAAUUUCUUAUUCCUGGAAAAUGCUUGAAUCCCACCCCUGCCCCUCAAGAACCCUAAUGAUGUUACUUUUCUCCAUCCACUGAUUUUUUGGUGUACGUGUGUUCUGCUAGGCUGGCCAGCUGGAACCAGAGAAAUUAAGUCUGUUACACUAGCAUUACAUAGUUGUUUAUGUAUUUUCUCUGUGCAUGUAACACCUCUUAUGAUUUCUAUGCAGAAUCAAAUGGUGCAGCACAUCAAGAAUGAGCUAACUCAUUAGCAAAACCUUCUAAAUGUGGGAAAAUAAUAAACGGUCAGUUAUUGAUGCCAAUAUGAUCUCUGCUCUGACAGGCUGCAUAGUAUUUGCAUUACCCUGGCUUCUGAAAACAACAGACAAUAGGCUCAAGAGGAUAAUCAGGACAUUUCAGGAGAAAUCUGAGACAUAUGUAUAUUGCCAAUGCAAAGAAUUUGCUUAUGAAACUAGGAAGUAAGAUCAUAGAAGUAAGACUUUAUUAUUUGCAAAUAUUUAUCUUGAAAAAUACUGAAAGCUAUUGGCAUUUGUAUAAAAUGACAACAUUUGUUGUUUUGCUUUUCUCCUUUAAUUGCAGAGACUGUUUAAAAUCCUGUCACUUAAAUUAGUGGUCAACACUGCUGUUUAAGGCUGAACAAAGGAUUAAAUUUAGAGAGCAUUCUAAAGGUAUUUUAUUUAAAUGAUUUGUUAUGGAAAAAUCAUCUUCAGGACUCAAAACAUGAGCAAAUAGGAAUUUAACUUCAUCAGUUUUAAGGUUGCUGUCUGAAUCAUAAGCUUUAUGACAACACUUCUUUUAGAGUUUAGAAGUUCUAACUAUAUUGCUGCUAGCUAGGAGCAAAUACAGUGAGUAAAAUAUUUCAUCAGCAUUAGCACAGUUCAUGACGCAAGUCCUGCCUACUGGAAUCUUAACUAGGUAAGCCCCUCAGUUUGCAGUGCCUGCACAUAUACCCAGUGAGGCUUCAAAAUCACAAAAGCUACCAUAGGCAGCAGGUAUGUGUUCUGCAACAACAUUAGGAUUAAAAUGAUUUAAGGAGGAAGAGGUUAAGUUACAGUUCAGGUGGUACAAACUCUUCUCCAUCUGAAGACACAGUCCUAGCCACAGGGAAGUAGCAGGCAGAGAGGGAAAAACCUCUUUUCCUGCAUCACCUUGCACCUUCAGGAGGAAGGGAAAAAGCAAAGAGAAAGUUCUGAAGGGUCAGUCUGCUCUCUCAUCCUUUGCUCACACACUACCACUACCUUCCUGCCCUGUACCGGCCUGCAGCCCUAGGUAGCCAAAUACUUCUUAUGUUCUAACAGAUUAAAAGCACUGCAUCUUUUGCUUCAACUUACCUUUUCCCUUAUUUCAAGUUUUCUGAGUAAAAAAUAACAGUUGACCACAGAUUCCAGUGUAUCAGAAAAAACAGGUUUUAAGAGGGAAUGGC